UAUGUCCCUGAACAAAGGGGGGGUCAAAAUCAAAAGUAACAGUCAGUAUCUGGUGUGGCCACCAGCUGCAUUAAGUACUGCAGGGCAUCUCCUCCUCAUGGAAUGCACCAGAUUUGCCAGUUCUUGCUGUGAGAUGUUACCCCACUCUUCCACCAAGGCACCUGCAAGUUCCCGGACAUUUCUGGGGGGAAUGGCCCUCACCCUCUGAUCCAACAGGUCCCAGACGUGUUCAAUGGGAUUGAGAUCUGUGCUCUUCGCUGGCUUUGGCAGAACACUGACAUUCCUGUCUUGCAGGAUAUCACACACAGGAUGAGCCUGCAGCAAGGGUACCACAUGAGGGAGGAGGAUGUCUUCCCUGUAACGCACAGUGUUGAGAUUGCCUGCAAUGGCAACAAGCUCAGUCCGAUGAUGCUGUGACACACCGCCCCAGACCACGACGGACCCUCCACCUCUAAACCGAUCCCGCUCCAGAGUACAGGCCUCGGUGUAAUGCUCAUUAUAACAUAUUUGGUCUGACAGACAUUUAUGUCACAACCAGAAUGCAUUGCAUGAUGUCAACAAACAUGGCUCCACACAUAGCUGACAAUUAUCUUAGCAUUAGCUCAUCAUAAUCAGUGUAACCUUCAAAAACGUAUUUUACACACAUAUGUGUAUUUGAAGAGGCACCAGGUAUUUAUAAAACACAUUUACCAUGUGCCUUUUGAAGAGGCACCAGGUAUUUAUAAAACACAUUUACCAUGUGCCUUUUGAGAAAAACAACAACCGGGGGAAACAACUGCGGGCUGAGUAUGUUCAGAGGGUGAUGGUGCAUGAUGCUGCUGUGCACCAACAAGAGUAUCUUUGUUGAUGAAGUGGGCUUCAACCUGGCCAAAACUCGGCGCCGUGGGCGGAACCUCAUCGGUCAACGGUCGACCGUCCAAGUGCCUGGACAACAUGGGGAUAACAUCUCCCGGUGCGCAGAUAUCUCUGAAGAUGGUGUGGCAGGAUGUAUGCCAUAAUUUGGAUCCUACAACGCUGCCCACCUCAUUGUGUUUCUUAAUGAAUUUGAACAGGCCUGUCAAGGUGAAGAGGUCACAUAUGUCAUUGUGUGGGACAAUGGCAGGUUCCACCAUGCUAAGGUGGGUCAGGCAUGGUUUCGGGCCCAUUCCCGAUUUCAUGAUCCUAUACCUGCCCCUUGCUCUCUUUUCCUCAAUUCGAUUGAGGAUUGUUUUUCAGCAUGGGGUUUGAAGGUGUACGAUCGCGAUCCCCAUGAGCGUGCCAGCCUCCUUCAGGCCAUGGAUGAGGCAUGUAAAGACGUCAGUGAUGACCAAUGACAAGCUUGGAUUCCCCAUGCCAAAAGGUUUUUCCUGCAGUGCAGGAACAAAGAGGACAUUAACUGUGAUGUGGAUGUGAAUUUAUGGGAAAAUCUUCAAGACAGGCUUGAUGCAAAUGAAUGUGUGCUAAACAUGACAAUUUAUUUAAAUUAAUUUAAUUUGUUUCAUUUCAUUUAUUCUAUUUGAUUACAGACAGUACACCUACUUUGGAAUUAUAUUUGAAAAAUAAAAUGUUUUUUUUAGCGUGAAUGAUUUUAGAGGAUGUCUUCAUUGAUCACACCUUUGAUAGAUAUGAUGAAAAUAGUAGAUGUUCUUGUACAUUUUGUUGGGUAAUGUAAGUGUAUUGCCUAAUGUGAAAACUGUGUAAUCUACUGUAAUUCACAGUACUGUACAUAUUACUUUCAGCACCUCCAAUGGUGAUUUUUGUUUCUAUUGGAUUAGAAGGAUUAACGACUAAAUUGAAAAGAUAUCAUUAUGUUGCGUUUAUUAAACCAAUGUUCUCAUUACAUUUCACAAUAAGCGUAUAUUUUUAAUCCAUGGUUGUCAGGUGAGAGAUGUUUACAAUACAAAUGAAUGAACAAUGACAGGUAUUGAAUGAAA